CGGAACAAACCAACGGCGCUGGUUGCUACACCGCAUGCGCCACUCUCCCCUCACCGCUUUGUUGGUCCUCACUGACAUUCCCGCUGUUCGCUCUUUCCAAAUGAUUGGGUGAGUUUUGCUGCGGAUAUGUCUUCAGAAAGCAUCAUGUCGAAGUUGCCUGGUGCCCAAGGAAGAACAGAGAGAAUAAAAGAAGAGGAAAAACGUGACAAAAAUAGAGAUGCAUUAUUUAAAUCACAUCCCUGGACCUUCUGCAGCACCACAAAGCGCUCUUCCUGUUGUCUCCCCCUCCCAGGAGCAGCAUCAAGUGUUCACUCAUCGAUCAGAGAUGUCUGCUGCAUCAACUGACCCUGGUGAUUGGGUAUAUCCUGUUAGUGAUCAGAGUAUUGGCCUUCACAUGUAUGACACAAGAAGAUCACAACAUGGAACUAGGCUGAAGGGAAGAACUCAAAAGGGAACAAUGGAAACCAGGAAAUACAGAGAAGGUGUGAUCAGUGACGGGUAAACCAGGUGAGUCCAAUCAG